CUGGCUCCUUUGAAGUUAGCGGCGGACGGGUGAGUAACACGUGGGUAACCUACCUAUAAGACUGGGAUAACUUCGGGAAACCGGAGCUAAUACCGGAUAACAUUUAGAACCGCAUGGUUCUAAAGUGAAAGAUGGUUUUGCUAUCACUUAUAGAUGGACCCGCGCCGUAUUAGCUAGUUGGUAAGGUAACGGCUUACCAAGGCGACGAUACGUAGCCGACCUGAGAGGGUGAUCGGCCACACUGGAACUGAGACACGGUCCAGACUCCUACGGGAGGCAGCAGUAGGGAAUCUUCCGCAAUGGGCGAAAGCCUGACGGAGCAACGCCGCGUGAGUGAUGAAGGGUUUCGGCUCGUAAAACUCUGUUAUUAGGGAAGAACAAAUGUGUAAGUAACUGUGCACAUCUUGACGGUACCUAAUCAGAAAGCCACGGCUAACUACGUGCCAGCAGCCGCGGUAAUACGUAGGUGGCAAGCGUUAUCCGGAAUUAUUGGGCGUAAAGCGCGCGUAGGCGGUUUCUUAAGUCUGAUGUGAAAGCCCACGGCUCAACCGUGGAGGGUCAUUGGAAACUGGGAAACUUGAGUGCAGAAGAGGAAAGUGGAAUUCCAUGUGUAGCGGUGAAAUGCGCAGAGAUAUGGAGGAACACCAGUGGCGAAGGCGACUUUCUGGUCUGUAACUGACGCUGAUGUGCGAAAGCGUGGGGAUCAAACAGGAUUAGAUACCCUGGUAGUCCACGCCGUAAACGAUGAGUGCUAAGUGUUAGGGGGUUUCCGCCCCUUAGUGCUGCAGCUAACGCAUUAAGCACUCCGCCUGGGGAGUACGACCGCAAGGUUGAAACUCAAAGGAAUUGACGGGGACCCGCACAAGCGGUGGGAGCAUGUGGUUUUAAUUCGAAGCAACGCGGAAGAACCUUACCAAAUCUUGACAUCCUUUGGAAAACUCUAGAAGAUAGAGCCUUUCCCCUUC
rnacentral:rRNA from 1 species